GACGAACGCUGGCGGCGUGCUUAACACAUGCAAGUCGAGCGGAGAAUAUAGCAAUAUAUUCUUAGCGGCGGACGGGUGAGUAACGCGUGGGCAACUUGCCUCAUACAGGGGGGUAACACCGGGAAACUAGUGCUAAUACCGCAUAAAAUAGUGAAGUGGCAUCACUUUACUAUCAAAGGAGCAAUCCGGUGUGAGAUGGGCCCGCGUCCGAUUAGCUAGUUGGUGGGGUAAUGGCCCACCAAGGCGACGAUCGGUAGCCGAACUGAGAGGUUGAUCGGCCACAUUGGGACUGAGACACGGCCCAGACUCCUACGGGAGGCAGCAGUGGGGAAUAUUGCGCAAUGGGGGAAACCCUGACGCAGCAACGCCGCGUGAAGGAUGAAGGUUUUCGGAUUGUAAACUUCUUUGAUUGGGGACGAUAAUGACGGUACCCAAAAAACAAGCCACGGCUAACUACGUGCCAGCCGCCGCUGUAACAC
rnacentral:rRNA from 1 species